rnacentral:lncRNA from 1 species
NNUGAAUCACUUAAUAAGCCUAACCUUGACUCAAGCAGUGAAUGCCUAUAAACAUAGUAAAUGAAAAAAGCUAGUAUUUUUAUAACAUAAAGUAAUAUCAUUUAUAGCUUAUCAGUCAUAUAUUGUCCAACAGAAAUAAAAAGCCUGAUGGAGAUCUGUCUUCAUACCUAGAAACAUUGGAGGCUAUUUUUGUUAAAACUAUCAGAAUUUGCUAACUGCCAUUAUGACACAUAGUCCAAAGAAUGUAGAAACCUCCUUAUCAUGUUAAUUAAUUGUUCUUCCCUUUUGAAGAUUAUUGUGUUGACUAAACCAUAAUUCAAGUAGAGUGUCCCAAGAAAAACCACUGGGCUCCCUGUUUGGAGUCCAGCUGGCUCUGAGCACUGCUGGUGGCCCUGACUCAACCUGUGUGUCCUCCCCUUCUGGAGGCUUUGCAUUUUGCACCCAGCUUCAUUAACAGCAGGCUGAAAACAACAUAGGUUCUAGUGUUUAUGGAGUUUUUUGGCCAGGGCCUUUUGGCCUUUUGAGCAGUGUCCCAAUGAAGUUCUAGAUAUUUAUGUAAGAAUGAGCGCUUUUUUCCUCCUCCUUUUUUUUUAACGAUAAUGCCCUUUCACAGAUUUCUAACUACUUUGUAACUGCAUGACUUAACCUGGUGAUAAAAGCAGUUAUUAAAAGUCUACAUUUUCCAAAAUUUGUUUCUUUUCUGUGUUUUUAUAUUUAAUAGUCUCUCUCUUAGUAGGAUAAAACUACAUCUGGAUUUCAGAAAUUUUGUAACAGCUGCCUAUGUAUCAUUUCCUUAUGUUGUGUCCUGAGCUACCCAAAUUUUAUUCCUGAAUUCUUUUGCAUUUUAAUUUUAUUAAGUAAGCUGUUCUUGGGGAGGAGAUUUAAUGAUUAAAACUGAUAAGUG